AUGUUGGGGAUGUCGAUGAGCAGCCUUCAGAAGAGAACAAAGAAAGUCUCUAUGAGGAAGGAGAAAGACAGGAAGUGGAGGCAGAAGAGGAGCCUGUGCAGAAAGAAGAAGAACCUGUGCAGAAAGAAGAAGAACCUGUGCAGAAAACAGUCAGUGUAAUACUCAGACAUUUCAACAUAUAAAAACUGACACAGCAAAAGCUAAAAUACUGUGUAGAAGAAAUUGGUGCCACACUAUUACUUUAUGACAAGAAUUUAUUCAUAGAUAUUGAUUCAUUAGUUCAAAAGAUGUAAGAGAAUUGUUUUCACUAGCCCCCUAUUGCACAGAAGUUUUGAAGUGGUCUUGACCAACUGUCUCUCCUUUCCGUUCACAGGUUCAUAUAUUAUACUGGGGUUAACUUCGUAGUGGGAAGGAAGAUGCCUAGAAGGAUGGCUGCUUUCAAUCUGAUUUGACCAAUUGCAUUUUUAUCCUAUAUUUGAUUAUAGGAAGCAUUUAAUUAGUAUCACAUAAGCAUUGGAUGCUGCUGCAAAGUUCCUUCCUAUCCAUAUCUAACAUCAGAUUGUUAUAAAUGCCAUGGUAGAAGUAAGGGGGGAAAUGUGAUUUUUUUUCAAAAAGUAUUCUUAAGGUGGCGGGGGGGGGGGGGCAAUUCUUCUUAUGCAUUUCUUCUUAUACAUUUCAAAAGUCUGAUUGUGUCUUCAGAUUUUUUUUGGAACAUUGAAGAUCAUAUGUUUUUUGUAGGGAUAUAAUUAUGUGCUUUUUUAAAAGAAAGCAAUUCAUAAUUUAUUUCUCACUGUGAGAAAAGUAUUUGAAAAUGUUCUUGAAGACUGUUCACUCUUAGAGAUAUUUGCAUGUGAUUUUACUCAGAAAACAGAAUUUGCUGCAUUGGAAACAGCAUUUUCUGUGCAGGUAAUAUCUCUGUGCAGAAAUACUGUUUCUUUAAUUUAUUACAUUUUGCAGGAAAUGCUGUUUUGUGUACACAAUAAUAGUCAAAAUAAAUCCCAAGCUGCAAAGAUUUGCACUCAUUUAGCAUUAUUUUCAAGGGUUUCUUAACACUUUAGAAAAUCAUUUUUCAACCAUUUUUCUGUUAUUUUCAAAUAUCCUCUCCCUAUUGCUUUCUUCAAAAUAAUAAGGAAAGGCAACUUGUUUUAUAAGGACAUCUCCUGAGGUGAUGGUAAUAAUAAAAUGCUUUUAGUUUCUCAAAGUUGUUCAGAAUUAAUUUAUAUGGUUGCUCCAACUAGAGUAGAGGUACGAAGCAUGCAAUUUUUACCUCUAGCCAGUCAAAAUUCAAAACGACUAACAGAUUGGAGAGCUGGGCCAAAAUGAGCAAAAAUGAAGGUCAACAGGUACUAUACUUGUGGAAAGGCCCCACCUGAAUUGCCAUGGCUCAAUGCUAUGGAAUCAUGGGAAUUGUAGUUUUACAAGGUGUUUAGCCUUCACCAGAGUGACGUUAAACUGCAUUAAUUCUACAGUUCAGAUGUACCCCAAAAGUCUUAGUAAACCAUGACUCUAUUCUGCUUUGGUUAAAGCUUACCUAGAAUACUACAUCUAGGUCUUGGCAACACAGUUCAAUUGACAAAAUGGUAUGUGUCCUGAAGAGGGCAACAUAAAUGGUCAAAGGUCUGAAACGUAUGACAUGUGAGGCUUAGGGAACUGGGCAUGUUUAACCUGGAGUAGAGAUAGCUGAGUGAGGACAUGAUAGCAAUGUUUAAAUAUUUGAAAGGAUGCCAAGUUGAAGAGGGGUUUUUCUGCUAGGACAUGGAGCAGUGGAUUCCAACUACAGAAAAAGAAAUUCCACCAAACAUUAGGAAGAACUUCCUUGACAAUAAGAGCUUCUUGACAGUGGAACUCACUGCCUCAGAGUGUGGUGAAAGCUUCUUUUUGGAGGCUUUUAAAACACAGACUGGAUAGUCAUUUUCCAGGAGUGUUUUGAUUGUAUGUUCCUGUAUGGCUGGGUUUAGGCUGGAUGAUCCUUGCGGUCUC
rnacentral:lncRNA from 1 species